rnacentral:rRNA from 1 species
CGUACACUCCUGCGGGAGGCAGCAGUGGGGAAUUUUGGACAAUGGGCGAAAGCCUGAUCCAGCCAUGCCGCGUGCAGGAUGAAGGCCUUCGGGUUGUAAACUGCUUUUGUACGGAACGAAACGGCCUUUUCUAAUAAAGAGGGCUAAUGACGGUACCGUAAGAAUAAGCACCGGCUAACUACGUGCCAGCAGCCGCGGUAAUACGUAGGGUGCAAGCGUUAAUCGGAAUUACUGGGCGUAAAGCGUGCGCAGGCGGUUAUGUAAGACAGUUGUGAAAUCCCCGGGCUCAACCUGGGAACUGCAUCUGUGACUGCAUAGCUAGAGUACGGUAGAGGGGGAUGGAAUUCCGCGUGUAGCAGUGAAAUGCGUAGAUAUGCGGAGGAACACCGAUGGCGAAGGCAAUCCCCUGGACCUGUACUGACGCUCAUGCACGAAAGCGUGGGGAGCAAACAGGAUUAGAAACCCUAGGAGUCCCAUGA